UUGACAUGCUUUAACAUGUUAUUUCGGCCUUACUAUAGUAUUUCAUCAUUUUCAUUUUUUUGAUAUUCGUUUUCAUAUGCAUGCACGUGCAUGAGAUUUUGCCUACAUAUGUACUUAAAAUUCAUGCGCAUAUAUAAAAGAACGCUUAACAUUUUCAUUGAUCAGUUAUCUAGAGAACACAAUGUCAUUUAUGCUUAUAUACAUUUCGUAGAUGAUGCAUUAAAUCACAGAAUAUCGCUUUUUAUCACUGGACUUUUCGCAAUUCUAUCAAAGCAAUCGUUUUAAAUAUUAUUGCGAUGCAAUCCCAAGCCACAUUAGUGCAAGCAACUUAUUAUGAUGACUAAUCAAUCACCUUCAAAGACGAAGAAAAAAACUUUUCAAUGACACCAUACGCCAAUGAUAAACAAAUAAAAAAAUGCAAAUAAAAACAAAAAAAAAAUAACAAAAAAUAAAAUGCAAUACAUACUCCUACGGUUAACAGUGAUUAAUAGGCAUUGAAACGAAAAAUCAAAAGCAAUUCACUUUCGUGCAAAUCAUCUUCAUAGCUUAACUCAUACGAAAUUUUCGUGGCAAUUAAAUAAUUUAAAAGUUGUGUGUGCUUGCAUCAAUUAAGUAAUGUAAACAAAUCUAUGAUUUUAGCAGCAAGCACACGUAUCAUAACUCGCGAUCCGCCGUUGUAAUGAUGAAAGAAAAGUGCGAUUAGCUUAUAUGAAAUUCAAAUUUAGGUAACUUUAUCUCGAGUCUUCUUCAUAGCAUUUGCUCUUCAUUUUCACUUAUUUUGUCAUAUUGAAAAUUUAAUCUUCUUUUAUGUUUUAUGUCACAUUAUUCUGUGCAGAUGCACUUUUCCUAGGGCUUAUUAUUUCCCCCCGAAAGGUUUGCUGUCCUUCAGAUACCAAUUUACCUAUGAUACUGAAUGAUAAUGAAAUCGCGUUAUUUUAAACAAGCAAAUGCGAUAAGUUAUUGAAGAAUUGAAACUUUUUUUUUUUUUUUUUUAUAAUUUU